CAUGGUCACAAACUGACGCUGAGGAACGAAAGCGUGGGUAGCAAACAGGAUUAGAUACCCUGGUAGUCCACGCCGUAAACGAUGAGUGCUAGGUGUCGGAGUAAUUCGGUGCCGCAGUUAACACAAUAAGCACUUCCGCCUGGGGAGUACGUGCGCAAGCAUGAAACUCAAAGGAAUUGACGGGGACCCGCACAAGCAGCGGAGCAUGUGGUUUAAUUCGAAGCAACGCGAAGAACCUUACCAGGGCUUGACAUAAUAUUGACCCCUCUAGAGAUAGAGGCUUCCCUUCGGGGACAGUAUUACAGGUGGUGCAUGGUUGUCGUCAGCUCGUGUCGUGAGAUGUUGGGUUAAGUCCCGCAACGAGCGCAACCCUUACCUUUAGUUGCCAGCAUGUAAAGAUGGGAACUCUAAAGGGACUGCCGAUGAUAAAUCGGAGGAAGGUGGGGAUGACGUCAAAUCAUCAUGCCCUUUAUGUCCUGGGCUACACACGUGCUACAAUGGUCGGAACAAAGAGCGGGCAAGCUAGCGAUAGCAAGCGAAUCUCAAAAAGCCGAUCUCAGUUCGGAUUGUUCUCUGCAACUCGAGAACAUGAAGUCGGAGUUGCUAGUAAUCGCAGAUCAGAAUGCUGCGGUGAAUGCGUUCCCGGGUCUUGUACACACCGCCCGUCACACCAUGGGAGUUGGCAAUACCCGAAGUCGUCGAGCUAACCGCAAGGAAGCAGACGCCGAAGGUAGGGUUAAUGACUGGGGUGAAGUCGUAACAAGGUAGCCGUAU
rnacentral:rRNA from 1 species